rnacentral:rRNA from 1 species
UACGGGGGGGGCUAGCGUUGCUCGGAAUUAUUGGGCGUAAAGGGCGCGUAGGCGGCCCGCUAAGUUGGUUGUGAAAUCCCUCGGCUCAACCGAGGAACUGCGACCAAUACUGGCAGGCUUGAGUGCAGGAGGGGAGAGCGGAAUUCCCAGUGUAGCGGUGAAAUGCGUAGAUAUUGGGAGGAACACCCGUGGCGAAGGCGGCUCUCUGGACUGCAACUGACGCUGAGGCGCGAAAGCUAGGGUAGCAAACAGGAUUAGAUACCCCCGUA